UGGGGAAUAUUGGACAAUGGGCGAAAGCCUGAUCCAGCCAUGCCGCGUGAGUGAUGAAGGCCUUAGGGUUGUAAAGCUCUUUUACCCGGGAAGAUAAUGACUGUACCGGGAGAAUAAGCCCCGGCUAACUUCGUGCCAGCAGCCGCGGUAAUACGAAGGGGGCUAGCGUUGCUCGGAAUCACUGGGCGUAAAGGGCGCGUAGGCGGCCGAUCAAGUCAGAGGUGAAAGCCCAGAGCUUAACUUUGGAAUUGCCUUUGAUACUGUUCGGCUAGAGACCGGAAGAGGUUAGUGGAACUGCGAGUGUAGAGGUGAAAUUCGUAGAUAUUCGCAAGAACACCAGUGGCGAAGGCGGCUAACUGGUCCGGUUCUGACGCUGAGGCGCGAAAGCGUGGGGAGCAAACAGG
rnacentral:rRNA from 1 species